UAAUCUGCCCUUGGGACAGGAACAACCCCGGGAAACUGGGGCUAACUCUUGAUAGGCGAAGAACUCUGGAAUGAGUCUUUACCUAAAUAGUGCAACGUUAUGCUCGUUGCAUCGCCCAAGGAUGAGGCCGCGACCGAUCAGGUUGUUGGCGAGGUAAUGGCUCACCAAGCCUUUUACCGGUGCGGGCCGUGGGAGCGGGAGCCCGGAGAUGGGCACUGAGACAAGGGCCCAGGCCCUACGGGGCGCAGCAGUCGCGAAAACUUUGCAAUACACGAAAGUGUGACAGGGCUAUCCCGAGUGCCAUCCGCUGAGGAAGGCUUUUACCCAGUCUAGAACGCUGGGGGAAUAAGGAGAGGGCAAGUCUGGUGUCAGCCGCCGCGGUAAUACCAGCUCUCCGAGUGGUGUGGAUGUUUAUUGGGCCUAAAGCAUCCGUAGCUGGCUAAGUUAGUCCCUUGUUAAAUCCACCGAAUUAAUCGUUGGAUUGCGGGGGAUACUGCUUGGCUAGGGGACGAGAGAGGCAGACGGUAUUUCCGGGGUAGGGGUGAAAUCCUAUAAUCCCGGGAAGACCACCAGUGGCGAAGGCUGUCUGCUAGAACGCGCCCGACGGUGAGGGAUGAAAGCUGGGGGAGCGAACCGGAUUAGAUACCCGGGUAGUCCCAGCUGUAAACGAUGCAGGCUAGGUGUUUGGACGGCCACGUGCCGUUCUAGUGCCGCAGGGAAGCUGUUAAGCCUGCCGCCUGGGGAGUACGAUCGCAAGAUUGAAACU
rnacentral:rRNA from 1 species